rnacentral:rRNA from 1 species
GGUGGACCUUUGAUUUUUGUCUGGGAAACUGCCUGAUGGAGGGGGAUAACUACUGGAAACGGUAGCUAAUACCGCAUAACGUCGCAAGACCAAAGAGGGGGACCUUCGGGCCUCUUGCCAUCGGAUGUGCCCAGAUGGGAUUAGCUAGUAGGUGGGGUAACGGCUCACCUAGGCGACGAUCCCUAGCUGGUCUGAGAGGAUGACCAGCCACACUGGAACUGAGACACGGUCCAGACUCCUACGGGAGGCAGCAGUGGGGAAUAUUGCACAAUGGGCGCAAGCCUGAUGCAGCCAUGCCGCGUGUAUGAAGAAGGCCUUCGGGUUGUAAAGUACUUUCAGCGGGGAGGAAGGCGAUAAGGUUAAUAACCUUGUCGAUUGACGUUACCCGCAGAAGAAGCACCGGCUAACUCCGUGCCAGCAGCCGCGGUAAUACGGAGGGUGCAAGCGUUAUCGGAAUUACUGGGCGUAAAGCGCACGCAGGCGGUCUGUCAAGUCGGAUGUGAAAUCCCCGGGCUCACCUGGGAACUGCAUUCAAAACUGG